AUGUCAGCUAAUCAGAACAACGUAACAGAAUCUCCUUCAACCAUUAUCUUUGACUCUAAAGAAAGACAAAGGCUGGCUAUCUACUUGGAAGCAAAAGGGCUCGGAGGAGGGCUUGUGACUAAGCUUCCUCAAAACUUUUUGAGGCUGUAACAUUAUGGAAAAAAGUAUAGAUGGCUGUCUUUUUCACUUCACUUGAGCAGUGGGGGGAUGACUUUUUUUCCGUGGUUGCCUUUCCUUAUAUGUAUAUAACUCUUGUGAUAUAUACUUACUAGACUCUGAAUUGAAGAAAAGGUGAUAUUUUUGGAAUGUUCAAGUACCAAUGAGUUGCAGAGUUUCCAUUUACGCAACAGGAGCAAGGUGAUGCAGCUUGCUGUUCUCUGUAACCUCCCUGGGAAAUGAUUGUGCAGUGGGAACAAUCUCAAAACCAAACUGGAUCUUCAUAUCAAGUAGAUUGGAUGUUGAACUGUAAAAGUAAAGUGAAGAGGGGAGGGUGUGGAAAGAGUUGGCAUUUUGCCAUAAAGAGGAAGAUGCCAAUGAGAGUGUGAGUAGUCAUUGUCUGGAGAAGUGCAGUAUGGCUGAAGAAAAAAGUUGGUGGUGGGGCUGUUCUGCUGUUCACUUCUGUGGCUUAAAAGUUGUAAAGACUCUUAACCUUUUCUCGGCUCUCCCUUUUUUAUGGAUAUGAUUGUCAAAGAAAUUAGUAGUGCGUUUUGGCAAGUAGAUUGUGAGAUGAAAUUAUGAACAUUUUUUUUGUAAGUGAAAAAUUUUAAUGUUAAUAAAUUGUAAUUUAAGAAAAAAAAAUUAUUUUCAUAUAAAUUUCAUUUUAUAUUUCAUCAAUUAAAUUGAUCAUUAAAAUGGACAGUUAUGUAGUUGACUUACGAAUAAAGUUAUAUAUAUGCUCAAAUUUCUUUAUUUGGUCUUGAUUCAACCUUUUACGAACAUUAGAAGGGUGAUGGUGUGUCCUCAACCUUUCCUCCAAAAUUUUGACCAAUUCGAAUUGUACAUAUACUUUAAUGUAACUUUACUGAUUUUUAUUCCAAACAAUUUGUAAUCAUGUAAUUAUCUGUAAAUUUUUUUGGGUAUAAUUAGAGUAUUUAUCAUCAACAACAAUAACUAAUUCUUUAGCUGUGAGUAUUCAUACGAUAAAUAACUUAUCACAAAAUGUACUUCAUGGAUCGAACUCCCAAUCAUCUGUAAAUCUAAAAACCAAAAGAACUUCAUUUUCAGGUGUAAUAUGUAUGAAUAUAUCUAAAAUAAACUAAACUAUGGAUAUGUUAAAAAAUAAAAUAUUUAAAUGGCUGAGAGAAAGAACACCAAAGAUAUUUUGUUGGCUGAGAGUGAAUUCUGACCACAUCUCAUGUAAAGUUGAUAAUAUAUAUUAAUUUCCAAAUAUGGGACCGAUUUUAUGUUGAAUUCAUUUUUCAGAUAAUUAAUUUAAAUAGAGAUUAGAAUUAGGUCGUUUAUGAAUUUAUUUAGCGAUAUUUUGUUUUAGCAUCGAUAAUUAUUUGAUACGUAAUUUUUCUUUGGCUCAAACUUGCACUUUAUGCUAAGCAUAUAUAUUUUAAUUAUUAAUAUUACGAAUGUAAUUUUCUCUCAAGAAAAGAAAAGUCGUUCGGCCUUUGGCAUGCUUUUGUUCUAUAAUCGAGUGACUCACCUGGUUGGACCGGCUUUGAUUACUAAUCCAGAUUGGUUCUUUCCUCGUUUAAUUGAAUGAAUAAUUGGUUGUGAAGGAAUUUUAAGACAAAAAAAAAA
rnacentral:lncRNA from 1 species